UUUCCAGAUAACAGAAAACCCACCGCCUUAUCUCAUCCCACCACUGGAUAAUUCUCCACUGCAAAAUUCAUUUCUCCCUCUCAGCCUAAAAAUGUACUAACCAUGCCAGAAACACUCCACCUCUACGCCACCGCCUCCUCCACCACCACUGCCGCCGCCCCCUUUCUUAAUUCCCCUUCUAUUUUCCGUCCCAAACACCUACAUUUUCCCUCGCCUCCUCCCAAAAAUGAAAUCCCCCUAUCAAUUUCCCCUCCCCCUUCCCCCCCAAUUCCCACCAAAUCCUCUCAAAUCCAAGAAAAACUCCUCUACUUAGACUCCCUUGGCAUAGAUUCCUUAUACUGCCUACACGCAAAUCCGUCUCUUCAUUCUACAUCCCUUUUGCAGCUGAAAUCCACUGUGGAAUUCCUUUUCUACCUGGGCCUGACCGCACAGAAUCUCCGCCGCAUUUUUCCCAUGUGCCCGGAAAUUUUAACCGUCCCUUUGUCCACUACAAUUAUUCCCGCCACUACUUUUCUUCUCCGGGAGGCCCACGUGGACGCCAUCGACCUCCGCCAAGUCAUCCGCCGCCGUCCCCGCCUUCUUAUAUGUUGCGUCGACCGCCAACUCCGGCCCACGUUGUACUUCCUCCAGGGCACAAUUGGCAUCGACGAUGUAAGCAAGUGUGCUCCACUCUUGUCCUGCUCAGUGGAAUCCAAGUUCAUCCCCCGGAUUGAGUACUUGCAGAAGCUAGGUUUCUCCUAUAAGGAUACCAUUACCAUGUUUCGGAGGUUCCCAUCAUUGUUUUGUUACAGUAUUAAGGAGAAUUUCGAGCCUAAAUUCGAUUACUUUGUAGUUGAAAUGGGUCGAGAAUUGAAGGAAUUGGUAGUGUUUCCUCAAUACUUUUCGUUUAGCUUAGAGAAUAGGAUAAAGCCGAGGCACAAAAUGUGCGUCGAGAAGGGUGUGUGUUUAGCAUUGCCAACGAUGUUGAAAUCAUCAGAAGCUCGGUUCCGGGAUAGGUUGGAGGUGUGUUGUAGUUCUUCCAUGCCGGUGAGGACCUCUGCCUUGUGGUGUACAAAUGCAAACAUUAUUGGUGAUAAUGAUCCAUAGAUAAAGAAAAUUUUCUUGAUAAAUAGCACCAUUUGUUUAUACAAAAAAAAUUCUUACUCAAUUUCCACUGAUUGCAGAUAAAUUUCGUUCCAUGUCUUUAAUUUAUUCUCUUACGAGUUUGUGUUCUUGAAACUGGAUAUCCUGUUAGAAGUUGUACAGAAUUAGUGUUAACUUAAGCAUCUUAUCCCAUUUUAAAGCAACUUUCGCCACUUUCCACAACUAUUAAUUGAAUCAGAUUUCUUCAUUUCAUUAGGGGGAGGACACUAAUCCUCCUGAUCAAACAGAUUCGAAAUACUACUUGUUUAGAACAGAUCCGAUAUUGUUCUCUACUUGCGGCAUCAAAAGCAGGACCUUUUUCUCAUUUUGUUUGAAUUGGGCCAAAUAGAGAAGGAAGUACAUAAAAUAAAUAGAGUAAGGGUUUCAAACCUUUUUAAUAUUUUGGUUUAUGGACUUCUCGCUCUACCAAGUACCAAAGGCCAUAGGAGUCAGGCAGAGAUCGUUAUACAAUUACAAUCUGUUUUUGCUCAAUGGAUUCAUCAUUGUAGUAAUGGGAAGAAUCAAGUUGUAGACAUCAAAGUUAUUAAAUGCACGAAACUUAGAUUCUUUAGUGUCAUUUGUUUUAAGCUUACGCCUCGACUUACUGAGCCCUAUGACACAAGGUCAAGUCUCAAGGCAGCUGAGAACUAAAUGGAAGCACCCCGGAGAACUCAGCACGGGGAUUGGUUGUUUGGUGGUUAUGUAUGGGAUGCCCAGGCACUGAUUUCCACAACUUGUGCAAAAAAAAGGACGUGUUUUGUGAUGUACUCGAUCUAGGAUUGAGUUGUGUGGUAUUACAUUUUAAAUGGUCCAUGGAUAGUUUGUUCUCUAUGAGCUAGAUGAAUGAAAUAUUCAGUUAAGCAAGUCCAACAGUUAUCGGCAUACUGGAUUUAUCUUUUCAGUUUUCCUUAAAACAAGUGUCUGGUUCUUUACUU